CCUACGGGUGGCAGCAGUGGGGGAUAUUGGACAAUGGGGGAAACCCUGAUCCAGCGAUGCCGCGUGAGGGAAGAAGGAUCUAUGGUUUGUAAACUUCUUUUAUAGGGGAAUAAAGGUAUCCACGUGUGGAUAUUUGCAUGUACCCUAUGAAUAAGCAUCGGCUAACUCCGUGCCAGCAGCCGCGGUAAUACGGAGGAUGCGAGCGUUAUCCGGAUUUAUUGGGUUUAAAGGGUGCGUAGGUUGUUUUUUAAGUCAGCGGUGAAAGUUUGUGGCUCAACCAUAAAAUUGCCGUUGAAACUGGAAGACUUGAGUGUGUUUGAGGUAGGCGGAAUGCGUGGUGUAGCGGUGAAAUGCAUAGAUAUCACGCAGAACUCCGAUUGCGAAGGCAGCUUACUAAGCCAUAACUGACACUGAAGCACGAAAGCGUGGGGAUCAAACAGGAUUAGAUACCCUUGUAGUC
rnacentral:rRNA from 1 species